GGUAACAAGUUAUUGGCAGGAUAUAUUACCAUGGCGACAACGAAAGGUCGAAAACCACCAACUUACUUAUAUAUUCUUCACCCGGCUUUGGCUGCACGAGACCCCCCUGUUAAAUAAAGAUAUGUUAGACCAAUUUAAAGGAUGAGAAGCAAGAAUGAAUAAGCAACUUCAAUGCCCUAAAGUUAUAACACCAGAGUCAAUCACAAUUUAUUUGGGAGUCGAUCACAAUUGCUUUGGAAAUAGCAAUAAAAAAUCAUAUUAUCAAAUUUUCAUUAAGAAAAUCUAGUCUCAACUUUUGCAUACAGUGGGGAAAAAUGUUCACUAUAAUCAUUCAAGACUUCAAACCUUUAAAUUUCAAUUUCUCCAAUCUACUGGAAGAUCUUGUCAUAAUUUGGAACCACUUGUUAACCCAUACAUAUAUAAAGCAUCUGGUCCAUACAAACUAACAAGAACUCUAUAAAUUGUAAAGUCCGGAAUUAACAAGGGUAACAUUCAUUAUCUAUAAAACAUAGCAAUCAGAUUUCAUUACUAGAGAUAAGAACAUAUAUGUAUUUUUAGCAAUUAAACAAACAACAACAACAAAAGCCUUUCCACAUAAGGCAAUUUUAGCAACUAAACAUAAUGCAAAAACAAAUAAGGGUUAUUGAAAGCGAUGCUUCAUUACUGAAGCUCUUUCUUUCUACUAAAAGUUUCACUCAAUGCUUUUUAAACAAUCAUCAUUUGAUCCCAAACCAUGACAAAAAAAUGCUAGGAUGAUCAAAACACAACAUGCAGCAGCAAUUAAAAGAAAUCAAAUAUAAAUAUGAACUAAUUUUUAAAAAACAAAUAUUUAACCCUUUCUAGUAGAGUAUGUGCAUAAUCAGUCAUCACCUUUUCUUUUACUGGAAGCUUGUGAAUUGACAUUAGACAACGCCGGUCCACCUCCACAACCACGAAGAUCCUUGAGCCCCAAAUUCUGGCCUCCCAUACACUGGAGACUCUCAAACUCACAACCAUCGAAUCCUUCCUCAUUCGGCG
rnacentral:lncRNA from 1 species